CACUGUCAGGUGUUGAACCACACGCAUCAACUUUUAUAUUUGUGUAACUAUGUCUUUCGAACAUGCCUUUCGUUCUCGUGUUGCCUUCAUUAUGGAAACCUUGACAGCAACAGCCGUGCAAGACAUUUGUCAAUUUAUGGAAGAAACGUAUGCUGCUCUUCGAGUGGAAAUGUUGCAAGAACAAAACCGAAGUUCGAGGACAAAAUUGCAGGCGAUGGAGAAUAGCAAGGGGAAAGAAAAGCCUGCGAACAGUAUGGAGAGCGUUCAAGAAGACUGUGAGAUGAAAUAUUUACAGAUAGUUAUGCCUAUUGACUAUUUGUCUGUAGGAAGCUAGGAGACAAAUAAUACACUAGCAGGCAAGCAAGCAGUCGCCUGAAUGUGCAGCCCCGGAGGGCACUGUUAUUACUGACUGAAUAUUAGUGCUCCCUGCUGGACCUUAUGGCUAUAGUCUGUAGGGGGCACCCUACUCCCUCAGUAGUGAAAAGGUUUCAGAAACUUCCCAGUCGUGGAGCAAAUCCUCAAUGAACAAGAGGCCAAUGGUCUUUGGCUAGAAGGUCACCUUACUGUGGAAGAUGCAGGUCCACUGUCACUGGCACCAGAGGAAGAACAGCCAUUGCAGAGUUUUGGUCAGAUGACAGACAAGGCUGAUAAGAGUUAAUAACACCAUUGGUUGUCUUGGAAGGGAGUGGAGACAUGUUCAGCACCGCUGGUCAUUAAACAGGAGGAAACGGAUGAUGUCAUGGAGUCUCAAGGUUACAGCGGGUGGAUGCCAGAGACUCAUAAGGCCAACCAGAAUAUCAUAGGAAAAAGUGAUGAGGAAGAGCGAAGUCAAGCCUCUAGGGCACAUAUGUCAGAGUCAAGGCCCGCGGGCCACAUCCGGCCCGCGAGAAGGUUUUUUACGGCCCCUGGGAUGAUCUUGAUUUAUUAUUAGAACCGCCCGCAGACCGCAGCAAGCCGGCAGCCCGCAGAUCUUUUACACGCACCAAUACUACAUUUCCCACAAUGCAACGGUGACGCACCGAGCAGUAGGCUGCUUCAUUUCAAUAUUUAUUGGCACAGCAGUUGUCAGCAUCACAGUAAAAUUAACUUUCAGAUACCCAUCAAAAAUGGCAAAACGGAAGGUGGACACUGAGAACCGGGGGUUUCAAACAAGGUGGGAGUCGGAGUAUUUGUUCACGGAGGUAAAUGGAAAACCUGUGUGUCUUCUGUGUGGAGAAAGUGUGGCGGUACUGAAAGAGUAUAAUCUGAGACGACAUUAUGAAACGAAACACGCGGACAAAAACAAGAAUAUGGACAUGGAACAAAGGCUACAAAAGGCAGAGGAAUUAAAACGAGGCCUCAAAUCUCGACAGGCUCUGUUCAAAAAGCCAAAUCACAA